GGAAAUGUGCCUGAAUAAAGGACCACUUUGAUAGAGUGGAUUAUGAGAGUUAAAACCCCUCCAUUUCUU
rnacentral:tRNA from 2 species